GACGAACGCUGGCGGCGUGCCUAAUACAUGCAAGUCGAACGCAGUGGGGACGGGUGAGUAACACGUGGGUAACCUCCCAUCAGAGGGGAUAACACUUGGAAACAGGUGCUAAACCGAUACGGAGGGAUGGACCCGCGGGGCAUUAGCUAGUUGGGGGGGUAACGGCUAAACAAGUCCAAGAUGCAUAGCCGACCUGAGAGGGUGAUCAGCCACACUGGAACGGAGAAACGGCCCAGACUCCUACGGGAGGCAGCAGUGGGGAAUCUUCGGCAAUGGACGAAAGUCUGACCGAGCAACGCCGCGUGAGUGAAGAAGGUUUUCGGAUCGUAAAACUCUGUUGUUAGAGAAGCGUUAUCUAACCAGAAAGCCACGGCUAACUACGUGCCAGCCGCCGCGGUAAUUC
rnacentral:rRNA from 1 species